GCUGAUCGAUCCAGAUCUGCUAGAUCGAUCGGCUGAUCGAUCCAGAUCUGCUGGAUUGAUCGGCUGAUCAAUCCAGAUCUUGCUUUUUGCCCAAAACAAAGUCCAAAGCCCCCUAAACCAGCAUUCAGUCAAUCAUGACUUGUUGGCACAUAAAACCUAGCAUCCGGUCACCCUUGACCAGCUAGGACUCUCUCACCAAGUGUCUGGUCAAACCCUUUGACUCACUUGGACUUUUCUCCUCUUGCCAAGUAUCCGGUCAAUCCGUUUGACCUACUUGGACUUUUCUUCCUCGUGCCAAGUAUCCGGUCAAUCUCUUUGACUUACUUGAACUUUUCUCCUCUUUGACUUAAGGUUGUCAUGGCUGAGUAAAAACCUUAUCAGGGUAUUUUAGGGGAAAGGAUGAGUAAUUAUUGAAUAUUCCUCCGAAACUCUUUUAUUCCCAAAACUAUAAAGGAUAUCUUUCUUUAAAACUUAAGCCGAGUGAAUUGCAACUGUUGACCAGUUAUAACAAAGCUUAAGGGCAUGUCUAGCGAAUUGCAACUGUUGAUCAGUUAUAGCAAAAACAUGAACUGAUAUAGUGUCUGAUUAACUUGACCCUAGUAUUUAUCAAACUGAAGAUUUGCGGUAAUAAGGCGACCGGGGAACAACGGGUGGAUUGUAAAAGAACAAGUCCUAACUUGGUAGCAAGGCAAGGGAUGCCGAUGUAAAUCCAAGGGCACACCUGUGUGAACAAGAAAACCCUUAGAACCCUCUAAGCUGUACGCCUCAAAUCGCAGGUAAGAUAAAUAGCAGGAAACAGUUAUAAUAGUGUCUUAUGUCAAGACGUUGGGAGGAAAAGAUUCAGGAGUGGUAUACAAAAUCUCAUACCUCAAACCUAGAAUACCUUGAUUUAGCUCAAAACAAAGAACAACCAACAAAAAGAGAACUUGCUCAUAACCUAUCGGUAAUCUACGAUAGAGUCUGUCUUUCUUGUCGAGUACAUCUCAAAAACUUUAAAAUAAUCCAAGAACAACUUGAGGAUAUCAGGAAAGAAAACAAAGAGUUAAAGAAGGCCUUAGAAAACCUUGCAAAAGAAACCAUUGAAAAUAGGCUUUUGUCUGAAAAACAGUUAAAAAGUAUUGUUGUGGAACAACCAAAGCUUACAGAACAACAGGUGUUCAAAAUUUCAGAAGACUUACAAAAGAAGUUGACACAAGUGGAGUUAUUAUUACAAAGGGUGGAGACGUGGUCUUCUACAUGAGCUAUAUUAAUACUCAGGCAACAAAUUCCUACAAAGACGCAGUCAGAGCAACUGAAGGAAUAGAGGCACCAGCCCUUGGGUUCUGUAGACCAGCAGAAUACAAAGGGGCAACAAGCAGUAGCACAGCCAUCAUCAAGCAGGCAAAUACACAAAUUCAACUUCUGGUUAGUAUUCUUGAAAAGUUGGAAUCUCUUGAAGAACGAAUCAAGAAGAUCGAAGGAAAGAUAGCUGUAAGCUCAAAUUUGCAGCAAGAAACAGCUUUACCUGAUAAUCUGAUUCAAAGCUUAACGGAUAGGAUAAAAACUUUAUCUAUACAAGAAAAGCCAAAGGAAUCCAAAGGUAAAUUAAGGGUUUUUACUGAUCCAUUUACUAUUUUGGAAGAAGAACAGGCUAAAGUAAGAAAGCAAUGAUGGCACGAACUAGAGCGCAAGAUCCACCUGUAACCACAACAAUAACAAGGCCAGGAGAUGCCAGAGUUUUUGAGGAUCAAAUCAGAGAAUACCAUCAAGCCCAUAGACGACGGUAUAAUGCUCAAAGAACAAUUCAAAGGAUGGCCGGUCAUAUUACUGGGCGAACAUAUACUCGUUCCUUAGAACAACAGAUGGACCCACAAGUGCAGCUUAGAUUAUCCAUGCAAGAAAGAGCAGCUAUAGUACCAGCUGAGGUACUAUACCAUUCCAGGAGAGAUGAUGUUCAUCACCGAGUUUAUGUGCACAGAUCAGAGGAAGCUCUCCUUGUAACAAGAAACCAAGUUGAUCUCUCUUUUAUUCAACCUGAAAGCUAUGCACAACUUCAGAGAAGUGGCAUGAGGUUCAUACACAUGGGAGUAAUUCAGGUACGUAUCCAAAUCCUACAUCGGCAGGAGGAAGGUACCUUGGCAUUAGUUGUAUUUCGAGACAAUAGAUGGCAGGGAGAUCAGGCCAUUUUUGCAACCAUGGAGAUUGAUCUGACUAAUGGAAGCCAGUUAGUAUACGUGAUUCCUAAUACUAUGCUAACAAUCUCAGAUUUCUACAGAAAUAUACAGAUAUCUGUUCUGACACGAGGAUAUGAAGGGUGGCAAAAUAGUGAGGCCAACUUAUUAAUCACCAGAGGACUGGUGGGAAGACUUUCAAAUACCCCAAAUGUGGGUUUUGCUUAUGAAGUCCAGAACGUGGUAGAUUACUUAGCAAGCCAUGGAGUACGGGCACUCCCAGGAAGAAGCUAUAGCACAAGAGAUGUCAUUGGGCAAAACUGGACAGUUAGACCAUCAUCUGCCAAUAUUCCCGUAGAACCCACUGAGGUAAACACACGAAAUUUAUUAAAUGGAAGCAUCUCUUUGCAAUUUACGAAUUACCAAGCUACGACGACAAAUCAUCCAACAUAUAACCUAAAUGAUGAAGAAAUUCAGUCGGAUGAAGAAGAGAUACGUAAUCAUAUUGUUUCAGUGCUUAUUGAAUCACCAAUUCCACGGGAGGAAGAAUUACUUGUCAAAAGAAUCUCUUCAUUAGCAUUAUUGCCUCAACGACGAACAGCUGGAUCUGCUGGAUAUGAUUUGGCUAUCAGUUAUCCACAAGAAAUUGCAGCACGAACAAGAUCUAUGAUGGCUACAGGCAUAUGUAUUCAGGUACCAAAAGGGACAUAUGCAAGGAUAGCUCCAAGAUAUAGUGCAGCUUUACGAGGAUUAAUAAUCAUGGGAGGCGUAAUUGACAGCGAUUACAGAGGUGAACUCAAGAUUAUUGUUUAUAAUGCAACUGAUAGUGAUAUAUUUCUAGAUCAGCAAGAAUGCAUUGCACAAAUAAUCUUGGAAAGGAUCGCAACACCUCCUGUACGAGAAGUAGCUGAGCUCGCUAAUACUUCAAGGGCGGAUCAAGGGUUUGGCUCAACAAACCAAAUAUGCUCCAGGUACUUGGCAAACCCUUAUUGUGUUGGUUGUCAAUAUUGUGAUGACGAUGCAGAUUAUCAUCCGCAACCAAUACAUGAACUGGAACCUGAACCAGAAAUAGUACCCGAAACAUCAACAAGGAAGGGUAAGGAUCCCCUAGAAAUUCGCCUAAAAACUGAGGAAGCGAUUGAAGAAGAAAUUAGACAGAUACAACAUCAAGCAAGAAUCAGGGCUAUUGAAGAUCAUAAGUUUUAUGAAGAUGAGGCUUAUUGCCAACUAACAGAAGGAACAUGGGCACAUAGCAUUGCAACAACCAAACGUAUGCUUCGUGAUUCUCGAGAAUAUAGAAGACAAUUACAGGCCUUACUGGAUGUGGAUGACCCCAAUGCUUCAAGUUCCUCGUCCUCAUCUAAUUUCUUAUGUGUUCUUUCUGAAGAAAAUAUUCCUGAACCUGAUGAUGAUGAUGAUGAUUAUUUCCAAUAUCUGCAGUAUUUAGCAUUACAGGAUACACCAACAGCAGUAACUAGUGAUGAGGAAUUUAUCAAUCCCUUCGCGAAAGGUGGUGGGAAAGAGAUAAUUGCUGCCACUACAGCUGAUUCGGAAUGGGUAACUGAUUACCCUCAAAUAUCCAAGUUGCAGGAGCAAAUUUAUUCCCAGGAAGCAGCAUCCAAUUAUCGACCCCCGGCAGACACAACAAUGAAUCCGGUAGGAUACCCCCCCAACAGACCGCAGCCCGCACCAAAGGAAGAACCAAUAAGUUUUGGGCGGCCUUCAGAACCGAAGGGGGCUUUUAAGCGAAAAGAAACAUCAGAAUGGUGGAAUCUGCCAACUGCUCAACAACAAACUGUGAUAACAAACGCGCUGUUAACAAAGGCAAGAGGGAAACAAAGCAGAAUAAAAGAAAAGAAGCCCGCAAACAAGUCAAGGAGUCUGGAUCAGGGCCAUUGCCGGAUAUGGGAGCGCUUUGCAUUUGAUUGGUGGAUUUUGACCAAUUUACAUAAAUUUUCAGUUUCUUGCAUGAAGCUUUGACACUUGAUUAUCAAGUCGGCCAUGCUCCACUUAUUUGAAGUUCACUGGGCACCUUGGUGUUGAGGAUUGAAUGAAACAUUCGUGACACUUUUAUUCUGCUGAUUCAGCCGGGGGUAUUCGAUCGUCAAAGUUUCAGCUGAGGAUUCCCUUUGCAGAGCGAAACAAAUCAAAUCUUGUGUGUUCCCCAUUUAAAUCUUUUACACACUAGAUGGUCAUAUAAGCUAGUAAACAGGUAAUUAAUCAGGAGACUCUCUCAUGAGCUUUUACUGUAUUUGUGACAACGAUCGGAAUAAAGGGGAAAAAAACAACAAAAAGUCCUCUUCGACACGGAUGCAA